UUGAUGGCUGAGUUAUGAUUUAUGUGAUGGCUGAGUUAGUAUUUAUUUGAUGGAUGAGUUUUUUUAAUAUUGUAGGUGCGUGUGAGAAAAUGAUUAUGAAGGAGGAUGUAGAAGAGUUGUUUCUUCAAUUAACAGGUGAAGCAAAUGACCCACAACUUGAUAAAAAAAUAUACAUGCAUAUAAGUUUGUUAGAGAUUUUUGAAAACUUCAGAGAAAUGACAACAAGAAAAAAAUGAAGACUGGAAUUUUGUUAGAGACUGGGCUACCCACAAAGAAGUAGAAGAAAGAUAAUAAACAAAAGGAAGUGAACACCACUGAAAAUGGAACUGUCGAUCUAAAAAAAAGAAGCAGAAGAAAGAGAAUGCCACUGACCCAAAAAAAAAAGAAUGCGG
rnacentral:lncRNA from 1 species